rnacentral:tRNA from 10 species
GCACCGGUAGCUCAGUUGGAUAGAGCAACUGGCUACGAACCAGUAGGUCGGGGGUUCGAAUCCUCCCCGGUGCGCCA